CCAUUUCAAAAUUGUAAAAUAUUGCUUUUCACCUCUCAAUUGUAAGUAAUCAAAUGAAACUUGAGAGAAAUCAAUCGCAAUAGAUAUGAUCUUGUAUAUCAUGCUGUAUUUAUUUAAAGUAAUAAUGUACAUGUAUAUAAGCCUUAUUUCAAACUCGUGUACAGGGUUUGCACUAUGUUUAAAAAUAAACGUUUGAGAUUUUUUAAAACCAGAGUAACAAAGUGCUUGGAUUAAAAAAAUCAUUUUUGAAUAUUUUUAUUGUCUUAAUUGUACAUGUAUUAUAAAACAGUGUACACAAAAGGCUUAAAAAGUGUUCUUUCAUUGCAGAUCAAUCUUUCUGGUUGGAGUUUUUUCCAACGCCAUUGCAUAUUCAAAUUUUUCAAAAACACAUUCUAAAUUAUUCAUAUUGGGUUUUUUAAAAUCUAUUUUGCUGACUAUCUGUUUUCACAGAAAAUGAACAAGUACUCAAGGGGUAAAGGGACGUCAUAUUGGUCAAUUAGAAGACGUGUGCAACAAAGCAACAUCAAGUUCUACAGUUUUACUAUUUGACAAAAGUCCCACUAGCUCAGUAACAGAAAAGAAAAUCCUAAACUGUUUGGAGAAAGUUAUGACAAACGUGGAGGAAAUAAAAGUGCAGAUCCACCUAAAUAAGCAGUUUCUGCAGGCCACAAUCACAAAGAUCGAUAGACUUGAAAGCCGUCCUGCUCCUGGUGUAGAGGAGCCCGACACUACACUGCAGUUAGAUGUAUGUUUUUCUCUGGGAAAACAAGAAAAUAUGCAGAAGCUGAAGGACCUCUUGCAGAGUAAAAACACGUGUAAAACUUUGAAACAGCGAGGAAGAAUCGCCUCUGUGUUAAUGCAACAGACGUGGAAAUUUUCAACGUGGCAAAAGACUGGUUUCGCUUUGCUAGUGAUAGAGAUGGGGGACGAAGGAGAAGGGCAGAGAAAAAGAAACUUCAAAUUCAAAUUCAAGCUGAACAGAAUGAAAGUGAGCUUGAGGAUGAGACCAAUAAAUGAAUAAAUAGAUUCUUUGUAACACGCGUAUUACCGCUCUCAAUACUUGCAUGUAAUAGAAUAUUAACAAUUUCCUUGUUAAUUUUGUAAUUGUAUGGAUACCUUCUUCUUCAUUUGUGUAACUGAUUUUUUAAAAACUCUCUUAAGGUAAUACACUAAAACAUUAAUAAAAUAUUAGGCAAAUGAAGAUCCCUUUCAAUUUGAUUAGUUAUUAACUUUGUUGUUGCAGAGUUCUGAGACUUCAUUUUUAUAUUUAAUAUUUUAUGUCAUGCCUUAUAGAGUUAUGGAACUUUUAACUUUUUUAUAUGUACCUUUUAUGUCAUUCCUGCCUCUGAAAUAUAUAUUACAGGUCCUUUUCUGACCUGUCAGUUUUCUAAUUAUUAUGUACAUAUACCAUGAUACUUGUAGAUGAAUAUAUAUUGCAUAUGUCAUAAAGAUUUGUUCAUUUUGCUUUUCAAAGGAAUAAGAAAACAUUA